rnacentral:rRNA from 1 species
GAUGAACGCUGGCGGCGUGCCUAAUACAUGCAAGUCGAGCGAACGGACGAGAAGCUUGCUUCUCUGAUGUUAGCGGCGGACGGGUGAGUAACACGUGGAUAACCUACCUAUAAGACUGGGAUAACUUCGGGAAACCGGAGCUAAUACCGGAUAAUAUUUUGAACCGCAUGGUUCAAAAGUGAAAGACGGUCUUGCUGUCACUUAUAGAUGGAUCCGCGCUGCAUUAGCUAGUUGGUAAGGUAACGGCUUACCAAGGCAACGAUGCAUAGCCGACCUGAGAGGGUGAUCGUCCACCCUGGAACUGAGACACGGUCCAGACUCCUACGGGAGGCAGCAGUAGGGAAUCUUCCGCAAUGGGCGAAAGCCUGACGGAGCAACGCCGCGUGAGUGAUGAAGGUCUUCGGAUCGUAAAACUCUGUUAUUAGGGAAGAACAUAUGUGUAAGUAACUGUGCACAUCUUGACGGUACCUAAUCAGAAAGCCACGGCUAACUACGUG